CAGAAUAAGAGAGAGAGGGAGUACAGCUUUGAAGCCACCACAGAUCUCCUGAAUGAGUCAGAGUAGGACUGAUGUACAUGCUAAAAGCUGUCCCUUGGAUCAAGGAUACAAAUUACAGGUUAAACCCACCGCUUCCUGUACUCCACAUCCAGCAAUUUACUGUGUAUUAUCUCAGGUGACUUGCAUCACUCUCAGAGACACCCUCCAG
rnacentral:lncRNA from 1 species